rnacentral:rRNA from 1 species
GAUGAACGCUGGCGGCGUGCUUAACACAUGCAAGUCGAACGGAAAGGCCCAAGCUUGCUUGGGUACUCGAGUGGCGAACGGGUGAGUAACACGUGGGUGAUCUGCCCUGCACUUCGUGAUAAGCCUGGGAAACUGGGUCUAAUACCGGAUAGGACGAUGGGUUGGAUGCCAUUGUGGAAAGAUUUUUCGGUGUGGGAUGAGCUCGCGGCCUAUCAGCUUGUUGGUGGGGUAAUGGCCUACCAAGGCGUCGACGGGUAGCCGGCCUGUGAGGGGGUACGGCCACAUUGGGACUGAGAUACGGCCCAGACUCCUCCGGGGGGCAGCAAUGGGGAAUAUUGCACAAUGGGCGCAAGCCUGAUGCAGCGACGCCGCGUGGGGGAUGACGGCCUUCGGGUUGUAAACUCCUUUCGCUAGGGACGAAGCGUUUUUGUGACGGUACCUGGAGAAGAAGCACCGGCUAACUACGUG